AACGAACGCUGGCGGCAUGCCUAACACAUGCAAGUCGAACGAGACCUUCGGGUCUAGUGGCGCACGGGUGCGUAACGCGUGGGAACCUGCCCGUAGGUUCGGAAUAACUCCCCGAAAGGGGUGCUAAUACCGGAUAAUGUCUUCGGACCAAAGAUUUAUCGCCUUUGGAUGGGCCCGCGUUGGUUUAGCUAGUUGGUAGGGUAAAAGCCUACCAAGGCGACGAUCCAGAGCUGGUCUGAGAGGAUGAUCAGCCACACUGGGACUGAGACACGGCCCAGACUGCGACGGGAGGCAGCAGUGGGGAAUAUUGGACAAGGGGCGAAAGCCUGAUCCAGCAAUGCCGCGUGAGUGAUGAAGGCCUUAGGGUUGUAAAGCUCUUUUACCCGGGAUGAUAAUGACAGUACCGGGAGAAUAAGCUCCGGCUAACUCCGUG
rnacentral:rRNA from 1 species